UUUUUCCCUUUCUUCAUUCUUGGCUGAUCUUUGCGUUUCUGUUGUUGAUAGAGUGAAAAGAGACGGAGAGAAUUGCAGAGAAUAGGAGUUCAUGUUAGUAACGAGAGGGAAGACGAAGAUUGGAAUUAGAUAGAGGAAAGCAGGAGAGUACUUUCUUUGGCGAUUUUGUUUUGUUGGCGAUUUCGGGUUUGUUUGGUCGUCGGUGAAUUAGGGCCUGUCGCUGUUAAUUUGGAUCAGAGGGUCGGUUUUAGAGAGAGAGAGAGAGAGAGAGAGAGAGAGAGAGAGAGAGAGAGAGAGAGAGAGAGAGAGAGAGAGAGAGAGAGAGAAUGGUUGUCGUUCAGAUCCAACAAAAAAAAGAAAAAAGAAGAAGAAAGGUUUGUGGUGUUUGAAGAGAGAGAGAGAGAAGAGGAUUUGGUUUCGACAGUACCGAAUUUGUGGCCUUCGUUUUGCUUGGAGAUUUAUUUGUCUGGUAUGAAUGUGAAACAAGAAUCAUUGACAGAGUUCCAGUGGUGAUCAUGUGCUCAGAGAACAUCCUCAGUUGAAUCGAUAGAAAAGCAGCUUCCAAGAGCCGUACUUGAAAUCAAGAGCCUGGAUGUGUUCUGAUCAUCAUUGUGAAACAAGAAAGAAAGAAAGAGGGUGAGGGAGGUGGGGAUUUUGAAGAAGGAUCCCGAGAUCCUGAAGGAGCAGAUUGAUAAGUUGAAUAAACAAAGGAAGGCAGCAUUAAACCAGCGGCAUCAUCCAUGGAAACCUUCAACAAAGAGAAAACAAACUAAAGUGUGAUGACACUUUUUAUGUACAAAGAACUGGAGGAAGCAACUUUUUGCACAACCUCCACAGCUGUUAACUACCAGGCUAACAACCUUUUGGCAACACAUAUGCUAACAGACAUCAUCAUCUAUUUUUAACAAAUACAUCAAGCAAUAAUUGUAAUUAAGUUAGCCUACAACUGUACCUAUUUUUUGCAAGCUGUUCGAACAGCAAAUGUAAGUAUCUUUUGAACAUUAUUA
rnacentral:lncRNA from 1 species